rnacentral:rRNA from 1 species
GACGAACGCUGGCGGCGUGCUUAACACAUGCAAGUCGAACGGGAACCUUUAUUUCGGUAAAGGUGAGAGUGGCAAACGGGUGAGCAACACGUAGGCAACCUGCCGACAGGAUGGGGACAACAUUCCGAAAGGAAUGCUAAUACCGAAUGGAGUCCGGAGAUGGCAUCAUCUCCGGAUAAAAGAUGGCCUCUGAAUAUGCUAUCGCCUGUCGAUGGGCCUGCGUCUGAUUAGCCAGUUGGCGGGGUAACGGCCCACCAAAGCGACGAUCAGUAGCCGGUCUGAGAGGAUGAACGGCCACAUUGGGACUGAGACACGGCCCAGACUCCUACGGGAGGCAGCAGUGGGGAAUCUUCCACAAUGGGCGAAAGCCUGAUGGAGCAACGCCGCGUGAGUGAAGAAGGUCUUCGGAUCGUAAAGCUCUGUUGCACGGGACGAAAACCGAGCUUGAAAACAUUGAGUUUGGGUGACGGUACCGAGCGAGAAGCCCGG